GCGUUUUUAGUUUAAUAUUGGAAAAAACUUCAAUCUUCUAAAUUGACUAUGAAGGUUCAAGUCCUUCAAAACGUA
rnacentral:tRNA from 1 species